rnacentral:lncRNA from 1 species
GGCUUCUCCCUGCUUCUCUCUCUCCAGAGGUUCUGACAGUUCUUACAUCUCUGGAUAUUCAGCUCGGCAUUGGCUGCCAUCAUAAGCCACCAUCCUGUGCUCAUGCUCAGCCAGAAUACAAAGCAUGAAUCUGGAAGAAAAGUUCAAUCUGGAAACAUCAAUGCUGCUAAGACUAUUGCAGAUAUCAUCCAAACAGGUUUGGGACCCAAGUCCAUGACGAAGAUGCUUUGGGACCCAAUGGGAAGCAUGAUGAUGACCAAUGCUGGCAACGCCAUUCUUCAAGAAAUUCAAGUCCAACAUCCAGCAGCCAAGUCCAUGUUGGAAUUAGCAGGACCCAGGAUGAAGAGGUUGGAGAUGGAACCGCAUUAGUAAUUAUUCUUGCUGGAGAAAUGCUGUCUGUGGCUGAGCACUUCCUAGAGCAGCAGAUGCACCCAACUGUAGGAAUCAGUGCUUACCCCCAAGGCAUGGAUGAUAUGAUCAGCACUCUAAAGAAAAUCAGUAUCCCAUUGACAUCAAUAACAGUGACAUGAUGCUGAACAUCAUCAACGUGCCAUUACCACCAAAGCAACUAGUCGGUAGUCGUCUUUGGCUUGCAACAUCACCAUG